CUUAUUUUUUAAAAAAACAAAAUCUUACAACUUGAGGAAUCAUAUCUGAAAGCAUGUGUAUUAGACAUCCAGACCCCCUAAUUAUAAUGGGUUCAACAGAGGCACGAUGGGGAGGGACAAAACAACGAAAUGAUUGGACUGGUUGGUGAGGCACUAAUUCACUUGCAAAACUCCAAGACACAAGAUGUAGACAUGAAGUUGUUGUUGUCUGGACUUCGGGCUCUGGAUCUCACGGUGGCCGGUGAAGAGAAAGUUGUCGAUGAUGGAAAAAAAGAGAGAAGGCUGUUGGUGAAGAGGAAGCUGUAGAUCUCAUAAUGGCUGGUUAAUUGUUGAAUGGCUGAGAGAAAGAGACUAAAGAGAGGCUGGGGACUUGCAUGUGAUGGGUGGCUAAUGCUGACGUGGAGGUACAAAUCUGGUGUAGUAUUAUAUUUUAGUUGAAAUUAUAAAAACAGUUUUAAAAUUGUGAAUUUACUUGAUUUUAGUCUGAUUUUAUUAA